rnacentral:rRNA from 1 species
AGUGAACGCUGGCGGUAGGCCUAACACAUGCAAGUCGAACGGCAGCACAGUAAGAGCUUGCUCUUACGGGUGGCGAGUGGCGGACGGGUGAGGAAUACAUCGGAAUCUACUUUUUCGUGGGGGAUAACGUAGGGAAACUUACGCUAAUACCGCAUACGACCUACGGGUGAAAGCAGGGGAUCUUCGGACCUUGCGCGAUUGAAUGAGCCGAUGUCGGAUUAGCUAGUUGGCGGGGUAAAGGCCCACCAAGGCGACGAUCCGUAGCUGGUCUGAGAGGAUGAUCAGCCACACUGGAACUGAGACACGGUCCAGACUCCUACGGUAGGCAGCGGUGGGGAAUAUUGGACAAAGGGCGCAAGCCUGAUCCAGCCAUACCGCGUGGGUGAAGAAGGCCUUCGGGUUGUAAAGCCCUUUUGUUGGGAAAGAAAAGCAGCAGGUUAAUACCCCGCUGUUCUGACGGUACCCAAAGAAUAAGCACCGGCUAACUUCGUG